UACAGAGGUGGCAAGCGUUGUUCGGAAUCACUGGGCGUAAAGGGCGCGUAGGCGGGGAUGUAAGUCGGGCGUGAAAUCCCCAGGCUCAACCUGGGAACUGCACUCGAAACUGCGUUUCUUGAGUAUCGGAGAGGAAAGCGGAAUUCCUGGUGUAGAGGUGAAAUUCGUAGAUAUCAGGAGGAACACCAGUGGCGAAGGCGGGUCUCUGGACAGUUCCUGACACUGAGACACGAAGGCCAGGGGAGCAAACGGG
rnacentral:rRNA from 1 species